AGUGAACGCUGGCGGCGUGCUUAACACAUGCAAGUCGAACGAGAACGGGUUAUAGCUUGCUAUAAUUGUCAGCUAAGUGGCGCACGGGUGAGUAAUGUAUAGGUAAUAUGCCUCUUACUAAGGGAUAACAAAUGGAAACGUUUGCUAAUACCUUAUACUCCUUAUUAACAGAAGUUAAUAAGGGAAAGAUUUAUUGGUAAGAGAUUAGCCUGUAUUGUAUCAGUUAGUUGGUGGGGUAAUGGCCUACCAAGACUAUGACACAUAACUGGUUUGAGAGGAUGAUCAGUCACACUGGAACUGAGACACGGUCCAGACUCCUACGGGAGGCAGCAGUGGGGAAUAUUGCACAAUGGACGAAAGUCUGAUGCAGCAACGCCGCGUGGAGGAUGACACAUUUCGGUGCGUAAACUCCUUUUAUAUGAGAAGAUAAUGACGGUAUUAUAUGAAUAAGCACCGGCUAACUCCGUGCCAGCCGCCGCUGUAA
rnacentral:rRNA from 1 species